rnacentral:rRNA from 1 species
GACGAACGCUGGCGGUGUGCUUAACACAUGCAAGUCGAACGGUAAGGCCCUUUCGGGGGUACACGAGUGGCGAACGGGUGAGUAACACGUGAGUAACCUGCCCUCAUCUCUGGGAUAACAGUCGGAAACGGUUGCUAAUACUGGAUAUGAGCUUGCAAGGCAUCUUGUGGGUUGGAAAGAUUUUUUUUGGUUGGGGAUGGACUCGCGGCCUAUCAGCUUGUUGGUGAGGUAGUGGCUCACCAAGGCUUCGACGGGUAGCCGGCCUGAGAGGGCGACCGGCCACAUUGGGACUGAGAUACGGCCCAAACUCCUACGGGAGGCAGCAGUGGGGAGUAUUGCACAAUGGACGGAAGUCUGAUGCAGCAACGCCGCGUGCGGGAUGACGGCCUUCGGGUUGUAAACCGCUUUCAAUUGUGACGAAGCUUUUUUGUGACGGUAGCAGUAGAAGAAGCACCGGCUAACUACGUG